rnacentral:rRNA from 1 species
CCUACGGGUGGCAGCAGUAGGGAAUCUUCCACAAUGGACGAAAGCCUGAUGGAGCAACGCCGCGUGGGUGAAGAAGGGCUUCGGAUCGUAAAGCCCUGUUGUUAGAGAAGAAAGAGCGUGGGAGUAACUGUUCACGUUUCGACGGUAUCUACCUAGAAAGCCACGGCUAACUACGUGCCAGCAGCCGCGGUAAUACGUAGGUGGCAAGCGUUAUCCGGAUUUAUUGGGCGUAAAGGGAACGCAGGCGGUCUUGUAAGUCUGAUGUGAAAGCCUUCGGCUUAACCGGAGUAGUGCAUUAGAAACUGGGAGACUUGAGUGCAGAAGAGGAGAGUGGAACUCCAUGUGUAGCGGUGGAAUGCGUAGAUAUAUGGAAGAACACCAGUGGCGAAAGCGGCUCUCUGGUCUGCAACUGACGCUGAGGCUCGAAAGCAUGGGUAGCGAACAGGAUUAGAUACCCGAGUAGUC